rnacentral:rRNA from 1 species
GAUGAACGCUGGCGGCGUGCCUAACACAUGCAAGUCGAACGGAGUUACGAUGAAACCUAGUGAUUCGUAACUUAGUGGCGGACGGGUGAGUAACGCGUGGAUAACCUGCCUUGCACUGGGGGAUAACACUUAGAAAUAGGUGCUAAUACCGCAUAAGCGCACAGAGCCGCAUGGCUCAGUGUGAAAAACUCCGGUGGUGUAAGAUGGAUCCGCGUCUGAUUAGCUAGUUGGCGGGGUAGAAGCCCACCAAGGCGACGAUCAGUAGCCGGCCUGAGAGGGUGAACGGCCACAUUGGGACUGAGACACGGCCCAAACUCCUACGGGAGGCAGCAGUGGGGAAUAUUGCACAAUGGGGGAAACCCUGAUGCAGCAACGCCGCGUGAGUGAAGAAGUCAUUCGUGAUGUAAAGCUCUAUCAGCAGGGAAGAAAAUGACG